rnacentral:lncRNA from 1 species
GAACGGGAUGGGUAACAGCGGUCUUUAAGAGACAACGCCAUGUUUACUAUCGGUUCGCUAGCUGACCCGGGUUCGGAGUCCGAAGAGGACGAAGAAGGAAUUUCGAUGAUCGGUCUAAUUAAUCUAGACGAUUCGUUCCUAACCCAAGUAGUUCGCAUAAACUAGAUAGUAAACACGUAGCAAAUAAGUGCGAAGAAAUAAAACAAACAAAAGAAAGGGUGUAAAAGUGAAAGAAAAACUUAAUUCUAGGGUUUCCUAAUAAAAAAUGAACUAGACCUUGCUCCUAACGUUAAGGACCACCAAAAACUCGAUAAAUCCAAAAUUAUUCGGACCGGUCUGGCCAGUUUGGAGCAGGCAUUGCCAAGAGGCCAAUCUCCGCGCUUAGACACCAAACCUUAAUCGGCCAGGUAAGCUUUCGCUUUUCCUUAGACACCGAAAAGUCGGAAUAAUUAAAGAUUACCUCGUUCUUUAGGUACCUUCCUAAUUGAGCGCGAAACCUAGGGGCCAAUGUCUAAUUCAAUUUUAUUAAAAGGCUAGGAAAUGCAAAAUGAAGAAUUAAGUCGUUG